rnacentral:rRNA from 1 species
CUACGGGGCGCUCCAGUAGGGAAUAUUGCGCAAUGGGCGAAAGCCUGACGCAGCAAUACCGCGUGAGUGAGGAAGGUCUUCGGAUUGUAAAGCUCUGUCAAAGUGGAAAAACGGCGUAGUAUCUAAUAGGUAUUGCGUUUGAUGGUACACUUAAAGGAAGCACCGGCUAACUUCGUGCCAGCAGCCGCGGUAAUACGAAGGGUGCAAGCGUUGGUCGGAUUUAUUGGGCGUAAAGCGCGCGCAGGCGGAUCAUUAAGUCAGGUGUGAAAUCUCGGGGCUCAACCUCGAAACUGCGCCUGAAACUGGUAAUCUAGAAUCUUAGAGGGGGAAGGGGAAUUUCGCAUGUAGGGGUAAAAUCCGUAGAGAUGCGAAGGAACACCAGAGCCGAAGGGGCCUUCCUGGAUAAGUAUUGACGCUGAGGCGCGAAAGCGUGGGGAGCAAACAGGAUUAGAUACCCUGGUAGUC